rnacentral:rRNA from 1 species
AAGUUGUUUCUUGGAGAGUUUGAUCCUGGCUCAGAAUGAACGCUGGCGGCGUGGAUUAGGCAUGCAAGUCGAGCGAUCCCGCAAGGGAUAGCGGCAAAAGGGUGAGUAACGCGUAAGUAAUCUGCCCUCAAGUCGGGGAUAGCAUCGUGAAAACGGUGGUAAUACCCGAUGUUAUCGGGAGCCUGUAUGGGCAUCCGAUCAAAGACGGGGACCGUAAGGCCUGUCACUUGGGGAUGAGCUUGCGUACCAUCAGCUAGUUGGUAGGGUAAUGGCCUACCAAGGCUAAGACGGUUAGCUGGACUGAGAGGUUGACCAGCCACACUGGGACUGAGACACUGCCCAGACUCCUACGGGAGGCUGCAGUCGAGGAUAUUUAGCAAUGGACGAAAGUCUGACUAUGCGACGCCGCGUGCAGGAUGAAGGUCUUCGGAUUGUAAACUGCUUUUGUCUGGGGCGAAACCUUCGACGCUAAUAAGGUCGAAGCUGACGGUACCAGACGAAUAAGCCACGGCCAACUCUGUGCCAGCAGCCGCGGUAAUACAGAGGUGGCAAGCGUUAUUCGGAAUUAUUGGGUGUAAAGGGCAGGUAGGCGGCUAGGUAAGUGAGGGGUGAAAUCCCACGGUUCAAUCGUGGAACAGCCUUUCAAACUGCCUGGCUUGAGUGUGACAGGGGAAGAUGGAAUUCUCGGUGUAAGGGUGAAAUCUGUAGAUAUCGGGAAGAACACCAACGGCGAAGGCAAUCUUCUGGGUCACUACUGACGCUGAGCUGCGAAAGCUAGGGGAGCAAACAGAAUUAGAUACUCUGGUAGUCCUAGCCGUAAACGAUGAGUACUAGGUGUUGGGUCCUUCGGGACUCGGUGCCGAAGCUAACGCAUUAAGUACUCCACCUGGGGACUACGGUCGCAAGGCUAAAACUCAAAGGAAUUGACGGGGGCCCGCACAAGCGGUGGAACAUGUGGUUUAAUUCGAUGCUACGCGAAAAACCUCACCUGGGCUUGACAUGUAAGUAGUAGUGAAAUGAAAGUGGAUCGAACCGUCAAGUCGGUAGCUUACACAGGUGCUGCAUGGCUGUCGUCAGCUCGUGUCGUGAGAUGUUGGGUUAAGUCCCGCAACGAGCGCAACCAUUGCCCUAUGUUGCCACUCUGGUGCCUAGAAAUAGGUAUCGGAAGCACUCUUAGGGGACUGCCUGGGACAACCAGGAGGAAGGUGGAGAUGACGUCAAGUCAGUACGGCCUUUAUGCCCAGGGCGACACACGUGUUACAAUGGAUACUACAAAGGGUUGCCAACCCGCGAGGGGGAGCUAAUCUCAAAAAAGUAUUCUCAGUUCGGAUUGGAGUCUGCAAUUCGACUCCAUGAAGCCGGAAUCGCUAGUAAUGGUGGAUCAGCACGCCACCGUGAAUACGUUCCCGGGCCUUGUACACACCGCCCGUCAAGCGAUGGGAGCCGGAAGUACCCGAAGUCCUAUGUAGGUAGGCCCAAGGUAAAGCCGGUGACUGGCGCUAAGUCGUAACAAGGUAGCCGUACGGGAACGUGCGGCUGGAUCACCUCCUUUCU